UACAGAGGGUGCAAACGUUGCUCGGAUUUACUGGGCGUAAAGCGCGUGUAGGCGGUGCCGCACGUCCGGUGUGAAAGCCCAGGGCUCAACCCUGGAAGUGCACUGGAUACGACGGCGCUGGAGUCCUGAAGAGGAGGGCGGAAUUCCCGGUGUAGAGGUGAAAUUCGUAGAUAUCGGGAGGAACACCAGUGGCGAAGGCGGCUCUCCGGACAGGUACUGACGCUGAGACGCGAAAGCGUGGGUAGCAAACAGG
rnacentral:rRNA from 1 species